GAUGAACGCUGGCGGCGUGCUUAACACAUGCAAGUCGAACGGAAAGGCUCCUGCUUGCAGGGGUACUCGAGUGGCGAACGGGUGAGUAACACGUGGGCGAUCUGCCCUGCACUUCGGGAUAAGCCUGGGAAACUGGGUCUAAUACCGGAUAGGACGACGGCUUGGAUGCCAUUGUGGAAAGUUUUUCGGUGUGGGAUGAGCUCGCGGCCUAUCAGCUUGUUGGUGGGGUAAUGGCCUACCAAGGCGUCGACGGGAAGCCGGCCUGAGAGGGUGUACGGCAACAUUGGGACUGAGAUACGGCCCGGACUCCUACGGGAGGCAGCAGGGGGGAAUAUUGCACAAUGGGGGCAAGCCUGAUGCAGCGACGCCGCGUGGGGGAUGACGGCCUUCGGGUGGUAAACUCCUUUCGCUAGGAACGAAGCGCAAGUGACGGUACCUGGAGAAGAAGCACCGGCUAACUACGUG
rnacentral:rRNA from 1 species